rnacentral:rRNA from 1 species
CUCUGUGACUCCUACGGGAGGCAGCAGGUGGGAAUAUUGCACAAUCGGGCGCAAGCCUGAUGCAGCCAUGCCGCGUGUGUGAAGAAGGCCUUCGGGUUGUAAAGCACUUUCAGUUGUGAGGAAGGUGGUGUCGUUAAUAGCGGCAUCCAUUUGACGUUAGCAACAGAAGAAGCACCGGCUAACUCCGUGCCAGCACGCCGCGGUAAUACGGAGGGUGCGAGCGUUAAUCGGAAUUACUGGGCGUAAAGCGCAUGCAGGUGGUUUGUUAAGUCAGAUGUGAAAGCCCCGGGGCUCAACCUCGGAACUGCAUUUGAAACUGGCAGACUAGAGUACUGUAGAGGGGGUAGAAUUUCAGGUGUAGCGGUGAAAUGCGUAGAGAUCUGAAGGAAUACCGGUGGCGAAGGCGGCCCCCUGGACAGAUACUGACACUCACGAUGCGAAAGCGUGGGGACGCAAACAGGAUUAGAUACCCUGGUAG